rnacentral:pre_miRNA from 1 species
GAGACACCCUUAUGGAACAGGACUUGCUUCAUUGGAACUUUGCUGCUCACUGAGUCUGCUCCUUGAGUGUGUCGCU